rnacentral:lncRNA from 1 species
GACUUCUCUUUUUUACUUUCCGUUGGUAAAUUCUGCUUUCCUUGUCCCUUCUCACUGUAUUUCUUCUGCACAUUGUUUCUUCCCUAAGACUGAAGGUGGUAUUCUGUCUUCUUUUAGAUUAAGGAAUUGCAGAAAUCGAGUGUCGAAGAGGAUUUUGGGUCAUUCAUACUCUGGCAUUGUGUUAGUGAAACAUUUUUAUCAAUUAAUUGUGAGUUGAGAAAUUCUUCUUUUUCAGAGUUACUUCAUAAAGGUUUAACAAAGAGGUGCAUGGCUUCCCUUGUCAUCAGUGCUUAAAGUUAGCUUUGUUCUGUUUAACUUUAUGUAUGUCGGAUGAGCCAGUCUUCUGACGAACCACUGCAUAUCUGUGUUGCUGGCUAGUUUUCCUGUAGUUUGUUGUGUCUGUGGUUAUACAUAUGAAAUAAAAUUAUCAGUCCAACUUGAUGGGAAAAAUUCUCUUGUUAAAGUGAACCUUAGCUCAUACAAUAAUCUAUAUAUUCAGAAUUAGCCAUCCAACUCUGCAACAGAUAACUUUUUGAUAUGUUUUGUAUGGUUGCAGGAUGCUUAAACUACAACCCUUACCUCCAAAUAUGUAGAUUAAUCAGUUCAUCGUACUUUGUAUUUUUGAUGUAAAUGAUGGAUAGUCAUACUAAACUAAAAUUAUAUUGGUUUGUCCUAGUUGGAUGGGUAGCCGAAAGAGAGGAGACAUCUGGUCUAAUUAAUGACUACAGUAUCAUAUAGCACCAAAUUGAUGAUAGAAUAUUAACAAUGUCCAUGUGGCAUGAAUCAAUAAUCAAUUAUUAAUUUAUGUUCUGAUAGUCACUGUUAAUUACAAUUUCAGUUUAGCUCGGUGCCUGGUUACUGUUAAAUCAGUGAACAAUCACCAAUAUUUUGGCUUUGGAAUUUGGAAUGUGGAAGUACGCUAUAAAUAAAUGUAAGUUUUCUGAUUAAUUUAAGCUUCUUGCAUCAUCAUGUGGAAUGGCUUUGGAUGGUACCAUAUCCACUGGCCUUGGUAAUUUUAGGUAGGAAGAUAAGAGGUUCUUUCAUGGGCUCCAUGAUCAAAGCCAUAAUUUAGUAGUCAAAUCCCAGAAAUUAAUACUCAAGAAUGUAGCAACAUAAACUGGAAGGGUCCCAUGAAAAUGCACUGUAUAAGGGAUUUCAGUUAGAUGGAUGAUUAUCUCCAUUAACAUUUUCUCUGCCUGUUAGGAUCUUUUAGGGAUUGAAGAUAAGAGGUUCAUAUUGCCUUUUAUUUUAUUUAACUAUAGUGAAAAAUUAGGUUUCACGUGUCAUAUACUCAUAUGGCAAUCUUGACUUUGCUAUUCAAAGCAAGAAUUUAGGUUCUGUGACUGCAUUGUUUUUUGCAUAUGUUAUGUGCUAUGUUGGCUACGUGCACUGUUUAGGCAGUAGCUCAGGCCUUUCUCCCCCUUAUUUCUCAAAGCUUUUCCAUGUCUUAGGACAUGAAACAGAACAGUAUGGUAAAGUAACAUAACGUGCCAGCCAUGAUAUGCAUGAACCUGGCAGGCAGUACUGCCAUCCUUAAUACAAAGGUGUCACACUGGAAUUUGUUAAAGCCAUCAAAUGAAGCUAAUCUUUAUAAGAUGGAUGAACCUUUGCAAUCAGUUUUGGUAAUAGCUUUUGGCUGGAUGUGAUGCAACUUGAGAUUAUGAAGAGGAUGCUGGUAUCCUGAAUUUCAAACCUGAUAAGCCGUAAAUGGAUAUUUUAACUGCCCCUAGGCAUUGGAAAGUUUGUAAAAAAGAAGAGGAGUCAAUAAUGUUGACUCUUGUUGCAAGGCAGGUGACUUUUGUUGGAAAUGUUAGUAUUGUCCAUAGUUGUACUACUGCUGGCUUUGUUUACAAGGAGUUGUUCUACUUGAAUACAAUCUCCAAUUAUCAUUACUUUGAAUGGCUCAGAUGUUUUGGUCAGCAGACAUGUCUUUGUGACCACCUUCAUCGGAGGUAUACAAACUUAGCCUUGUUGUGAUACUAUGAUAUCUUGAGAUGAAUGAGGCACAUAUAUUGCUUGGUCAGCCAUGGUCAUAUGUUCAUACAUUUAGUCAUAGUGGUUGUGCCAAGUUCUGCACAAUCAAGUUCCGUGACACAAUUACAUUAAAUUCAUCUAUGUAGACUUGCAUAAGCAAGCUCAGGUCUAGAUGGUAAAUUUGGAUGACAAUCAUAUCAAAGUUUUCCCCAUAUAAUUGUACAGGAAAGCGCCUGUUCUUAAGAUGAAUCGGGAUAUGAAUCAUUUUAUUUUUCAAGUCCAUGAUAAAAUUUUCUCAAAUCCAGUAGGAGCAUUGUGCGCCUAAGGGCAAAAAGACAGUUGGAGCUUUGUUAUGCUGAAACCUAAAUGUAAAGAAUUCAGAUGAAACAAUUCAGUUUGUGAUGAGCUUCAAAGCAACAAAAAGAAAGUAGAGUACACCUGGGGUAGUGCAGAUGCAGAUAAAUCCAUGAUCUUCUGUAAUUGUCACAACUAGAAAACAGGUUCUGCCAUACAAGUAGUUUUCAAAGAGCUUAUGACAGCCAGGGUGAAGAAAAAGUUCCUGAUACUUGACCACACUUCCAUUUUUGGCUAUGAUCGGGCACUUGUCAGUGAUUUAGUAUGUUUGUUGUUUGAGUUUCAAGUAUUUGUUGGAUAAUUUAAUUUUUCAACUAUGGUUUGGUUUUAUUGCUAAAGUCACGAAUGGCUUCUUAUAUGAAGCUGGGCUCUAGGUUAUAUUGGUGAAAUUUUCAAUAUUGAAGAGCUGAGGAAGGAAAGAUUGAAGCUAUUUCGUAAUAUAUUGAAUAUUGAAGUACAAAGCUUUUCCUUCCUCUUGGAAUAACUUAUGCAUUCCUGUAAAUUAUUGCGAUAUUUUUUUGGGUAAAGUGAAAUUUGGGUUCUUUAAUCCCAUCUUGUCUCUUAAUCUGCGCAUUAUAGGUAAUCUUGAAUAAGAUCUCUGUAGAUUUCCACAAAUUCUGAUUUCAUGGUUAUAAAGUUGUGGACACUUGUCCUUUACCUUGUUUCUUUGAUUGUUCUCAUCAUUUGAAUUUUCUAUCAUCUUUAUGGCCCACCAUGAUUUUCAUUUAUCAUUCCAUCAUUAACUUCCAUGAGAUUUCUUCUAAUUCAAUAUUAGUCUUUCGCAUCCGGGGCUCAACUCAACUAAGCCUUAAUCCCAAACUAGUGGGCAACUGCUUUUUCCUAAGUUAUCUUUGUUGGUUGGUUAAACCAUCGUGCAUCACCGGCCAAUUGCUGCCACCGCUUUCCAUGUCACCAUUGACUGGUGGUGUCCUGCCACCACCACCACCACAACCCUUCAACACCACCAAUUGUCUUCUCUGUUGCAACCAAUCACUACAGCCUGAUGUAGUAACUUGCUCACUCUACAGGGCAUUACUUGGUGCUCGAAAGCUUUUGCAGUAAUGCAGGAAACUAAUAAGUAGUGACCACAGGUAGUUGGGGUUUGAUUGUUUGAAAUGAGAUGUCAUAUGGGAAUAUUGUUAGCUUGUUGGACUUAAAAUAUAUUAUUGGAGAUGACCUUUGUAAGUAGGGGUAACAAUGCGUCACAUGUAGUUCAUGUCAGGUCAAGUAAGGACAGGACCAUGAGAACCUUGACCCAUACUUGACCCAACCUGAAAACGGGUUAAAGCCUCCUGAUCCACACUUGCCCCCGGGUCAUUUGGGUCACCUAUUUGACCAUAACCUAAUCUACUUUGCAAGAGUUAAUCCCUAACAGAUCUAACCUAACCUAUCAAAUACGAUCCCAACAAUUAUUUGUCGACUAAUUUCUAAAAUGAUGAAAACAACUAGUAUUAAGAAAAUGACCAACCACUCAAAAAAUUCUUAUCCAAGAUCAUGACCUAAGAAAAUGAUCAAUUAUUCCUUCAUUGACAUGAGUUGGGUCAAAGCUAUAUGUCCCAUACCUAACUCAUUUAAAGUGCAGGUCAGAAAAUUUGACCCACACUCGACUAGCUCUAUGACUUUUGGUGCCAUAUCAUCCGAAACCAAGUUGUGCAAUAUUCGGUUCGUGACCCAUACAAUAUCUGCCUUACUAUAUUUUAAAAAAAAUUUGCUAUGUAAUAUGAGUUACCUUUUGGAGUUAUGAAGGCAGUCUUUUCCACAUCCACAGGGUUCAUCUUGAUUUGGUUGUGCCUAAAUGUGAGGUUAGGUGUGCAGGAUCACCUGUCUAUUUCGAUGUGCCGAAUUUAGUUGGAUGGUGCGAAUGGUAUUUGAACUAAAUAAAUUCAUAAACCGGGUUGGCUGAUACACUUUAAAACAGUUCUAUGUAUUCCUUUCCUAGUCUUUCUAUGUCACAAGGUUGAAGCCAAGAAAUAUUUGUUUUUCCGAUGUUCCCCCUUGUUAGUUUGCCUCCUAGUCUAAAGGUAAUAUUGCUUUGAACCCCAACAUAUGAGGACUAAGGUCUAAUUGUUCUGGCGUAGUCUAAGUCUCCUAACAGAAUGCUGACUACCGAAGUUGAAGCUGCAACGAUGAUGUUAACUGGCAAUGCAGAUUCCAAAGCCGCUUUGCAUUUGAACUUGCACCAUAGGUAGUUUGCAGCGUGCCCAGCCUGAUAGACAUGCCUAAAAUUGCCCAAUGAUGAGUAGAAAUUUAGCCACCAACGGGGGAGCAGUGGCAGAAGAAGAAGGGAACACAAGGAAAAAGACAACCACUCUCAUCUCUAUUCAUAGAACAGACGUUCAAUCCUGGUGGAACCACCAGAGGUGGCGGUCGUGCCCAUCGAGAAAAAUUUUGACCCACACUCAACCAUAACUAAGGAACCCUUGACCCAAACCUGGUCCAGAUGGGGUUUGGUCGCGUUUUUAUGUUGGGCCAAUCUUUUUUCCACCCCUUUUUGUAAGACAAAUGCCUGCUGUCAUUAUCAAUCUUGCUUGCUUUGGGAAGGACGUAUUCAUUUAGCUAAAGCUUUUCUCUCUCGCUUACUGUCCAAGGCUGAGAGUUAUUUUUUGCACUUUUUGACUUUCUAUAGUUAUUAUUGAACCUUUUCAUUUUCAAGGAGAAUGAAACAGAAUAAAUGAAUAGAAGGGUCAAAGAGAGGGAAAUUUUAGAAGAAUGAAUAUGAAUAGCAGGGUUAAAGUAGGGAUAGAAAUGAAUGAGUGAGAAAUCCAAGAAGAGUGAAUAAGAACAGUGGGGAUAAAGUAGGGAUAGAAAUAAAAGAAGAGUAUGGGUAAGUAAGAGGUGGUUUUACCUAUAAUUUUUCAUGUACCUACAGAUAGGUGAGCAUCACUGACUUAUUUAAUACCUUUAGGAAGACUGGUAUAUCAAAUUGCAUCUCUUUUGUAACAACACAAAUAAUACGAUCUUUAUAUUGAGAUGUAUGUAUGGCUAUUGACACAGCUUAUACAUCCAUUUGAAAAACAUUGGAGGUGAAACAGAACGUGUGUGAAUGGUGGUUGAUCUUACCUUAUUAAAAUUGCAGCACUGCUAACUUUGGUCACUUGAUUGCCCAUCUGAUUGAUGAAACAAUGUAAUAAGCUUAAAGCAGGUGUUAAUAACUCCUGGAUUUAUAUUUAUGUAAUAUCAAUUGAUAUUUGAAACUUACAAAUCUCGAUGAGUAAUAUCAACAGAAUAUGUUGGAUUUUAUUAAUGAAGAAGUUGGUAUUUUCAGUUCAACAAACACUGUUUGUAAGAAUAGCAGUGCUAUAAUAGCAGAAUUUCUGUUUUAUUGCUGUGACAGAUAUGACUUAAGGAAACUAAAGUGAAAGGUUCUCUAAACUCCUUAAUUGCUUCAGCAAUCCACACAUCUACCAGUUUUUGAGAGCUUUCAGCUUGUUGCUAAAAUCUUUCUUUCUUUUUUUUUGUGCAUGUUAAUUUUCUCCCCUGAUCGCCUUAAGGUUCAGUGUUACUGGAAAAAGAAAUGGAUCAAAUCACGUGGAAGUGAUGGUGGCCAGGAUGAAUUGGAUGUGUGAGAGGAAGCUUGUGGUAAAACAGGAUCUUUGUUUGGUUGCCUUGACUGCUGUUAAAUUACUCAAAACAGUUGAUUGAGAUCUAUCUUACAUAAGCAUUAUUAGUUUGUCAUGCUCAGCUUUCCAUACGAGAGCAGGCCUUGGUGCAAUGCAAGGUUGCUCUAUUGUGACUUGGCUAUCAUGAAUUCAGAACAUGAAAAUAACCUCUCAGCACGGGGGGAUGAGGUUUGCAUGCAUAUGACCCUUUCCAGAAGCAUUGGAAUGCUCUUUUAGAUCAGCCUUCCAUAUUCCAUCAGCCAUUUAUCUGGACAUUUAUGUACCUUUGUGUUUUACAUCCGUAUUGUUCUUAUUGUUUGACUAUUUAAAUAAACCUGUUCUGUUUCAUCUUGGCUUCAAGAUGUGUGGAUCACUUUAGGUAUUUCAUGUCUUUUGUGUGUAACACAUUUUGUUGGUCUGCUCAUUAAUAUCUUCAUACAGUAUGUCUGAAAUUAGUUACCUCAUGUCAUUUGUCAUCUCAGCAUAUCUGAAUUUAGUGUAUAGGAUUCAUAACGCACAAGAUAUUUCUGUCCCAGGUAACAGGUUGAAGGUUCUGUCACAGCCGUAAGAAAAGUGGCUAUUCUGAAAAGAUGAUGAACAAGGAACGAAACCAGCUGAUCGCUUAAAUUUUUGACAUCUAGACUGCUAAAUAUCUAAUUCUAAG